rnacentral:lncRNA from 1 species
GCUCACCAUGGCGGCCACCAACCCCCUGAUUACUAUGCAAGAGGCACUCACAUACAGAUUUGAUUGAGGUGAAAUUUAUGCAGUUGGAAGAAUUAAUUGUUUUAGAGUUCAUUUUAUACGGAGAAAAGUAAGAAAAUUACUUCAAGUGAGCCAACAUGAAAUCUUGCAAGAAUCAACACGUGUGAUAGGGCAACAAAUGAAGAAGAGCUAUGGAGUGUUUGUGGAGAAUGUCUUUCUAGUGGAAGCGAGUGCGUCCCCUUAUUACAAUGAAAUCAAAUAGCUCUCAAAUAAAGUUCUUCUAUGGUGUGGUGUGCGGCGUUCGAAUCUUUUUAAGCCCUUGCACAAAGGAUUCUUGCCGGUUGUGUGCACACUCCAGCCAUGUGAAUAUAUUAAAACUGUUUUUGUGCCAAAAAAGGGUCAUAUUCAUGUAGUUAUUAAAUGGCCGGCUGCCCAAGGAAUAGUCCAUGUGCUCUUGGUUGUAAUGGCUGGUUUUUACAAAGGAUGGUCUCAACAGGAAGGGGUUAUGUCCUCCUGAAGGUGAAAAAGACUGGUGUACUACCAUAUUUGAGAAUCAGUGGACCCGGAUUUAGUUUGUAAUUGGCCUUUUAUCUUCUCUUCCACUGGGGUGGCAUAAUAGGCAGGCCGGGCAUGUCGGGUAACCGGUCAUAAUAGGUUUUUGAUCAAUAUGGGUCGACCGCCAAACGCUAUUGUUUCAUUUUGUGAAUCUUAUAAUUAUUGGUUGGGUAAAUAUAUGAUUACAAAGCCAUAUUAUUA